ACGCUGAAUAACGUGGAGAAAGCAUUUGGAGCUGUCCAAAAAGGUAAUUGUCAUGUUUACAUUGUCAUGGCUUGGUAAAACAGUUGCAUGUUCUUUCCUUCUUGUAUGCAGCUGUAAAAUUAUGUUUAUGAUAGAUUUAACAUCUCGUUAUAAUCCUUGAGGCGAGCUGCACUCUAAUACAGUCCACUGAUUUAACCACU